rnacentral:rRNA from 1 species
CCUACGGGUGGCAGCAGUAGGGAAUCUUCGGCAAUGGGCGAAAGCCUGACCGAGCAACGCCGCGUGAAUGAAGAAGGCCUUCGGGUUGUAAAAUUCUGUUAUAAGGGAAGAAAGGUGAUAGGAGGAAAUGACUAUCAAUUGACGGUACCUUAUGAGAAAGCCACGGCUAACUACGUGCCAGCAGCCGCGGUAAUACGUAGGUGGCCAGCGUUAUCCGGAUUUAUUGGGAGUAAAGAGAGCGCAGGUGGUUAAUUAAGUCUGAUGUGAAAGUCCACGGCUUAACCGUGGAGUGUCAUUUGAAACUGGUUGACUUGAGUGCAGAAGAGGGAAGUGGAAUUCAAGGUGUAGCGGUGAAAUGCGUAGAGAUAUGGAGGAACACCGGUGGCGAAGGCGGGUGCCUGGUCUGCAACUGACACUGAGGCGCGAAAGCGUGGGGAGCAAACAGGAUUAGAUACCCCUGUAGUC